rnacentral:rRNA from 1 species
UGGUCUUGACAUCCCGAAGAUCUCCUGGAAACAGGAGAGUGCUCUCUUUGAGAGAAUUUGGUGACAGGUGCUGCAUGGCUGUCGUCAGCUCGUGUCGUGAGAUGUUGGGUUAAGUCCCGCAACGAGCGCAACCCUCGCCAUUAGUUGCCAGCAUUAAGUUGGGCACUCUAAUGGGACUGCCGGUGUCAAACCGGAGGAAGGCGGGGAUGACGUCAAGUCCUCAUGGCCUUUAUGACCAGGGCUACACACGUACUACAAUGGCCGGUACAACGGGCUGCCACUUCGCGAGAAGGCGCAAAUCCCUAAAAGCCGGUCUCAGUCCGGAUUGGAGUCUGCAACUCGACUCCAUGAAGUUGGAAUCGCUA